AACUGAAGAGUUUGAUCAUGGCUCAGAUUGAACGCUGGCGGCAGGCUUAACACAUGCAAGUCGAGCGGGGGAAGGUAGCUUGCUACUGGACCUAGCGGCGGACGGGUGAGUAAUGCUUAGGAAUCUGCCUAUUAGUGGGGGACAACAUCUCGAAAGGGAUGCUAAUACCGCAUACGUCCUACGGGAGAAAGCAGGGGAUCUUCGGACCUUGCGCUAAUAGAUGAGCCUAAGUCGGAUUAGCUAGUUGGUGGGGUAAAGGCCUACCAAGGCGACGCUCUGUAGCGGGUCUGAGAGGA
rnacentral:rRNA from 1 species